rnacentral:rRNA from 1 species
UACGUAGGUGGCGAGCGUUGUCCGGAUUUACUGGGCGUAAAGAGCGCGCAGGCGGUCGUCCAAGUCGCGUGUGAAAGCCCCCGGCUCAACUGGGGAGGGUCACGCGAUACUGAUCGACUCGAAGGCAGGAGAGGGAAGCGGAAUUCCCGGUGUAGUGGUGAAAUGCGUAGAUAUCGGGAGGAACACCAGUGGCGAAGGCGGCUUCCUGGCCUGUUCUUGACGCUGAGGCGCGAAAGCUAGGGUAGCAAACAGGG